AGUGAACGCUGGCGGUAGGCCUAACACAUGCGAGUCGAACGGCAGCACAGUAAGAGCUUGCUCUUACGGGUGGCGAGUGGCGGACGGGUGAGGAAUACAUCGGAAUCUACUUUUUCGUGGGGGAUAACGUAGGGAAACUUACGCUAAUACCGCAUACGACCUACGGGUGAAAGCAGGGGAUCUUCGGACCUUGCGCGAUUGAAUGAGCCGAUGUCGGAUUAGCUAGUUGGCGGGGUAAAGGCCCACCAAGGCGACGAUCCGUAGCUGGUCUGAGAGGAUGAUCAGCCACACUGGAACUGAGACACGGUCCAGACUCCUACGGGUGGCAGCAGUGGGGAAUAUUGGACAAUGGGCGCAAGCCUGAUCCAGCCAUACCGCGUGGGUGAAGAAGGCCUUCGGGUUGUAAAGCCCUUUUGUUGGGAAAGAAAAGCAGCAGGUUAAUACCCCGCUGUUCUGACGGUACCCAAAGAAUAAGCACCGGCUAACUUCGUG
rnacentral:rRNA from 1 species